rnacentral:misc_RNA from 1 species
AACGCAUAUUGCGCUCGAGCCCUCGGGCAAGAGCAUGUCUGCCUCAGCGUCGGUUUACACCCUCACCCCUCCCAAUUUAUUGGGCGUGCUUUCUUACUGACAAGCCAUUGGGGUGGAUCUGACUUCCCCAAUCAGCUGCGGUGCUGAUUGGGUUGGUUGAAGUGCAGAGGUUUGAGUUAGGACCCGAUGUGGGCUUCAACUGGAUAGGUAGCUCCGGCAUCCGUCGACUACACGAAGUUGUUGCUUGUGGACCUCACUGAAAAACCAAGCAGGAACAUGCCUAUGGCAUGUCUAAACUUUCGACCUGAGCUCAGGCAAGGCUACCCGCUGAACUUAA